GAAGCAGCCGAUGAAGGAGAAUUGGAUAAUGAAUGCUGGAAAAUUCAAUCGUAUUGUCGAUCUUAAAUUCUAAAAAACAACAUUGGUCUUUGCUAUAUCAUUCUACUUCGUAAUAUUACAUUGGACUAAUUACAUUGUGAUUUUUCAUUUAAAUAAUAAGAAAUUGAAGUUCAGAUACAAUUCUCUUGUAACUGAUAAUUUCAGAUAAAAUACUUAAGAAUUUUUUUUUUCCAUAACGAAAGCAAGAGCCAAACAUCCACAAUAAUGACACACUGUUUUUCCAUAUAUGUCUCUCAACUCUGGUGUGAUGGAAUACGCAGCGAUUGUAAGAAUUAAGAAUGGGUUCACCUUCAGGAAAACACACAAAAGUGUUGAUUCCCAUCUCUGGAAUAAUUUCUAUGCAGUAAUCGAUUCCAGGUUGCAAUAUUCGUGGAUCGUGUUCCCGUGCAAAUAUCGAACCAUUGGUUAAUAAUACAUGGAAAUCUUGCGCGUCUUCGGUUGAAUUUAAAAUAUACCUGGAGGAAUAAAUGCAAAAUUUUUAUUUUUUUUUUUUUUUUCAAAUUAUACAUCCUUCUAACGUAUAUUUAAUAGUUUCAGCGCAAAACUAUAUUCUUAGAAAUAUAGUGGAUAGAUUAAGAUAAUAUUUGAAAUUAAUUGCAAUCAUUAUUUGCAUUUGAAUUAAGAAAGAAUGUUACUUAUCCUUGAAUAUAAAACUUGAAUAUAAAGAAUGCAAGAUGUUACGAUACGAUAAUAGAUUCGAGAUGAAAUUGCUUUUUCUUUUGAAAGCAAGAGAAAGAAUAUACAAGGGAUUUCCAAUAAUCGCGACAAACGUACUUCGAACCUUACCGAAACUAUAACCAGAAUCAUUGAAAUUAUAGAAAAUAGGAGAGAAAUUUUCGAUACUGAAGGGAUCCAUAACUGUGCAAACCGCUUUUCCAGUUACGUUUCUUACAAAAACUUCGCCUAUCGGGCAACAUUUUCCAACCACAGGAUGAUCCUGCCCUCUCCAAAUACUUGAAAUUAUUCAAAUUGAAACAAGAGGUUGAAAAGAAGAGAGGUAUAAGAUUAAAGAGUUAAAGAGAGAUUUCAG